GCCCAGAUGGCGGAAUUGGUAGACGCGCACGGUUCAGGUCCGUGUGCCGCAAGGCGUGGAGGUUCGAGUCCUCUUCUGGGCACCA
rnacentral:tRNA from 65 species